UAUAUAUAUAAGUUAUCGGAUAUUAUCAGAUUGCAAUGCUAAGAUGCAGGUGGCAUUCUCAGAAUUGCAAUCAGCACUCUCUCCCACCAGGGAAACGUAAUUGUUUAUAAUUUAAAAUGUAAGAACAUUCCUUGCCUAGAAACCAGUGAAGUCACAUCAUUGUAAUUGGUAAACUUAAUUAUUCUUUGUCAACUGUAUUUCGCAAAUAAAGUUUUUAAAAAGGAAUCAACCAGCGAAGUUGACUUAAUUGGCGCAGUCGGUAGGACAGCACGGUCUUCAAGAGAACAUUGAACACCACCGUCUUAACGGUUAAAUUGCUGUCGGAACUUCAGGCUACAAGAAGAAGGAAAUACUGGAACGUCCAAGGAAAGAAAAGGAAAAGGACAUGGUAUACCUUGCUUCACUGAACACCUGCCGAUAAUCUCGUCGUGUUGGACGGAACACGCCCUCCUCGGCUCACGAGCUGUGAUUAAUAAGUUGAAGGACGGGCCGGUAGUGAAUUAUGAUAUUGGGGUCCUUGAAGAUCCAGGCUCAGGAUCAAAUACCGCAGCGAGUCAUGACUGCCGGGACCUUCUGGAAGAAUCGGCCGAUUUUUUAAUUUACAGUUGGAAAUUUCGUCCGGGGAGUCCUUUCUGGUUUCAACAGGACCGGGUCCGGCUGGCCGACAAACGAACAAGGACCAAUUGCACAACCGAAAAAGCCGGUCGCCUAUAUUUUCGUUUUAUAAAGUCGUCCGACGGUUAAAUGUCUUUUGGUCUUCUUGGAUAAACCGGAGAGAGUAUCGUUCAACUCGACCAACUCCCGACUUCCCGGCCGUCGGGACGUCGGCAAAACAACCCGCCCGUCUUAGCGUGUUUCGUUAUCGAUUGUUUACAAACAAGAGUAUGGGGUUGUAAUAAUUGGGGGAAAUGAGAUGGGAUGAGAAAAGGCGAUUGGAGGUAGUGGUGUGGAGGUGUAUUUUAUUGAAUGGAAACCCGUCACCGUGGAGAUGCUCUCUCGUUGGCAUGGGAACCCCGACACAAACGUUCCCUCUACGUCACGGCGUAGGAGGCGCCCUAUUUGGGCUUUCCUCGUUUUGACCCACUUACCUGACCCCUUCCCCUUUUAAUUCCACGAGCCUCUCCUAAUAAUAAACCCAUUGUUCAAACGGUCUGAGAUCUAUGAGUUCCCAACAGACGGAUAUAAAAAAAAUGGACUGCACAUGCAAAUUUACAUGAAGAACGGCAAGUCGACUAUUUUGUCCUAAACCAGAUGAACAGUGGAUUCCCCAAUCAAAAUCAAAUUAUAACACCGCAUAAAUUUUAUUUCACAUAACGAAUAGAAGACAACGAAUUCCGAGGUCAAGCCCAGAAACCAAGGACAAGACACAGAAAUCGUAAAAAAAAAAACUAAUAAAAUCUACCAAAUUGGCCAAUUCACUGUCUUAUUAGAUUGCAUCACAAAAAAUAAAAUAAAGUUAAAAUUCAAA